AGAGUUUGAUCCUGGCUCAGGACGAACGCUGGCGGUGUGCUUCACACAUGCAAGUCGAGCGAAUGAAGUAGGUAGCUUGCUACUUAUGGAUUUAGCGGCGGACGGGUGAGUAAUAUAUAGGAAUCUGCCUUAGAGCGGGGAACAACAGACCGAAAGGUUUGCUAAUGCCCCAUAGGUAUGCAGUCUUCGGAUUGUAUAUUAAAGGAGUAAUCCACUCUAAGAUGAGCCUGUAUCCGAUUAGCUAGUUGGCGGGGUAAAGGCCCACCAAGGCUACGAUCGGUAGUUGGUCUGAGAGGAUGAUCAGCCACAAUGGGACUGAGACACGGCCCAUACUCCUACGGGAGGCAGCAGUGGGGAAUUUUACACAAUGGGGGAAACCCUGAUGUAGCGACACCGCGUGAACGAAGAAGCCUUUUGGGGUGUAAAGUUCUGUCGGCUGGAACGAAAAAAAUGACGGUACCAGCAAAGGAAGCAUCGGCUAACUACGUGCCAGCAGCCGCGGUAAGACGUAGGAUGCAAGCGUUGUCCGGAUUUAUUGGGCGUAAAGAGUUCGUAGGCGGUUAUUUAAGUCUGAUGUUAAAUACUGUGGCCCAACCACAGAACUGCAUUGGAUACUGGAUGACUUGAGUGCGGUAGAGGCGAGUGGAAUUCCCAGUGUAGCGGUGAAAUGCGUAGA
rnacentral:rRNA from 1 species